UACGUAGGGUGCAAGCGUUGUCCGGAAUUAUUGGGCGUAAAGAGCGCGUAGGCGGUUUGUUGCGUCGGCUGUGAAAUCCCGAGGCUCAACCUCGGGUCUGCAGUCGAUACGAGCAAACUAGAGUGUUGCAGGGGAGACUGGAAUUCCUGGUGUAGCGGUGAAAUGCGCAGAUAUCAGGAGGAACACCGGUGGCGAAGGCGGGUCUCUGGGCAACAACUGACGCUGAGGAGCGAAAGCGUGGGGAGCGAACAGG
rnacentral:rRNA from 1 species